GACGAACGCUGGCGGCGUGCUUAACACAUGCAAGUCGAGCGGGGCGGAGGCAAGAGGUAACUUGAGCUUUCGUUCAGCGGCGGACGGGUGAGUAACGCGUGGGCAACCUGCCUCAAGGUUUGGGAUAACAGCUCGAAAGGGCUGCUAAUACCGGAUAUGCUUAUGGCCUCGCAUGGGGCUAUGAGCAAAGGGGAAACCCGCCUUGAGAUGGGCCCGCGUCCCAUCAGCUAGUUGGUGAGGUGAAGGCUCACCAAGGCGACGACGGGUAGCCGGCCUGAGAGGGUGACCGGCCACACUGGGACUGAGACACGGCCCAGACUCCUACGGGGGGCAGCAGUGGGGAAUCUUGCACAAUGGGCGAAAGCCUGAUGCAGCGACGCCGCGUGAGCGAAGAAGGCCUUCGGGUUGUAAGACUCUGUCUGGAGGGACGAACAAGAUGACGGUACCUCCGGAGGAAGCCACGGCUAACUACGUGCCAGCAGCCGCGGUAAUCU
rnacentral:rRNA from 1 species